rnacentral:rRNA from 1 species
CCUACGGGAGGCAGCAGUGGGGAAUAUUGCACAAUGGGGGAAACCCUGAUGCAGCGACGCCGCGUGAAGGAAGAAGUAUUUCGGUAUGUAAACUUCUAUUAGCAGGGAAGAAAAUGACGGUACCUGACUAAGAAGCCCCGGCUAACUACGUGCCAGCAGCCGCGGUAAUACGUAGGGGGCAAGCGUUAUCCGGAUUUACUGGGUGUAAAGGGAGCGUAGGCGGUUCAGCAAGUCAGAAGUGAAAGCCCGGGGCUCAACUCCGGGACUGCUUUUGAAACUGUUGAACUAGAUUGCAGGAGAGGUAAGUGGAAUUCGUGGUGUAGCGGUGAAAUGCGUAGAUAUUAGGAGGAACACCAGUGGCGAAGGCGGCUUGCUGGAGUGUAAAUGACGCUGAGGCUCGAAAGCGUGGGGAGCGAACAGGAUUAGAUACCCGGGUAGUC